rnacentral:misc_RNA from 1 species
GAUGAAGAACGUAGCGAAAUGCGAUAAGUAAUGUGAAUUGCAGAAUUCAGUGAAUCAUCGAAUCUUUGAACGCAUCUUGCGCUCCUUGGUAUUCUGAGGAGCAUGCCUGUUUGAGUGUCAUUAAAUUCUCAACUACACUGACUUUGAAUUGGUGUGGCUUGGAUUUGGGGGGAAAAUUGUUGUGGGCUUUUUGUAUAGUCUGCUCCCCUGAAAUUGAUUAGCGGUACCUUUGUGGAACUGUCUACAGGUGUGAUAAUUAUCUACAUCUUAGACAUCUGCUGGAAUGCUGCUUUCUAAACCUUACUUGUAUUGACAAUCUUGACCUCAAAUCAGGUAGGACUACCCGCUGAACUUAUGCAUAUCAAUAAGCGGAGGA